UACGGAGGGUGCAAGCGUUAUCCGGAUUCACUGGGUUUAAAGGGUGCGUAGGUGGGCAGGUAAGUCCGUGGUGAAAUCUCCAAGCUUAACUUGGAAACUGCCGUGGAUACUAUCUGUCUUGAAUACCGUGGAGGUGAGCGGAAUAUGUCAUGUAGCGGUGAAAUGCUUAGAUAUGACAUAGAACACCAAUUGCGAAGGCAGCUUACUACACAGUUAUUGACACUGAGGCACGAAAGCGUGGGGAUCAAACAGG
rnacentral:rRNA from 1 species